UACGGGGGGGGCAAGCGUUGUUCGGAAUUAUUGGGCGUAAAGGGCGCGUAGGCGGCUAUUCAAGUGGCGGGUGAAAUCCCUCGGCUUAACCGAGGAACUGCCUGCCAGACUGGAUGGCUUGAGACCGGGAGAGGUGAGUGGAAUUCCCAGUGUAGCGGUGAAAUGCGUAGAUAUUGGGAGGAACACCAGUGGCGAAGGCGGCUCACUGGACCGGUACUGACGCUGAGGCGCGAAAGCGUGGGGAGCAAACAGG
rnacentral:rRNA from 1 species